rnacentral:tRNA from 2 species
CGGCAAGAAGUAUAAUGUAUGUGUAGUUUCGGCCUACAUGGAGGGUUAAGUGAUCCCUUGCUGU